rnacentral:lncRNA from 1 species
ACACUGAACAGUGGAGAGGACCAAGCUUGGAAGUACUCUGACUUUCAAAACUCUUUACUGGUGGUUGGGACCAUCAUUCCCAGAUCUGCAGAGCACCCUCGAGACCAAAGAUUUCAUCGUCUCUUGAACAGGGGUGUUGAAAAUGGAUUUGGUGUUCUUUGCUCAAAUAUGGACAAAGGGCUGAGAGGCUGAGCGACUAGCAGCCCUUACAGAAGUCAGCAAGUAUGCGAGGGCCGCCCAAGGAACACAGAGAGGUUAUGAACUGAAUUCUCCUCUCGUCGCAAGUGGCCGGUGCCCAGCCAGCCCUGCAGGUCAGCAGGGAAAGCCACACGGCUCCUCCGUGUGAUUGCAGCUGCCACCGUCACGUCUGCCCUGACCUCCAGGUGGCCCAGUUUCCUGCGUAGCUUCUGCGCUGUACCCAGAGUGACCAGAGACCCCCAGUUGUGCCCUUCAGACUCCAGGUGCUGCCUGGUGUCUCCUUGCUUCGGAGGCUCUGCAGAGAUUAUAAUUCACAGGCCACUUGCUAGAGGAGUUCGGAGACUGAAAUGUCAGCCAGUAACUGAGUCAGAGGCUGUUGGGAGCCAGAUGCUUAUAAUCCUCUAUCUGACGGAGGCUUUAUGCUGGACAGAAGGCUGAUGUUUUAAAAGAUAAGGAUGGGGUUAGUCUCCAGAUAAAAUCAUCUGCAGCUAUUCAUGCUGCUAGUUUAUCUGAAUACUGAAGAGGUGGAAAGUGCUCUGAUGGGAAAAAAAAAAUGUGCAGCACCUCGACACAUAUCAAAGAUCAGCAAAGGGACUGAACGAGAUGAUGGAUCAGAGAAGUUCUUAAGGCAGGAGGGGGUGAUUGGUACAGUGAGGAAGAGCCACCCAAUGCUGUACCCUGAGUAUGGGCUCUCUGCUGGCCCACGGGGAGACACCUGAGAUGUUUGCUGCAUUUCUGAAGACUCAGCAGGGCUAGCACCUCUAGACAUAGCGUAGGCUAUGCAUCGUUAGCAGGAAUGUCACAGAAGUGAUGGGGUCUUGCCCUACGCCUUACUAGGUGGCCUACUGCUUUCACUUACUGUAUGCUUCCUGGUAUUUAGUUUGAUCACACGAUUAAAGUUGUGCCAACCAUGCUUCUCCAUUAUAACAUGACGCUCUAGUCCUUUGUAAUUAGAAGGUAUUUUGCAUGAAGAUGCUUUAAAUCUGUAUAAAUAGCUCUUUCCUUAUUACUUUCAAUUUACCCACGUAUUUAUUUGUUAUCUUGUUUAGCUUAAUAGGUAACCGUCUAUUACUAUCCAUGUGUACUUGGGUGCUCAAGUUCUGCCCGAGCCGGAGCCAGCCAGGAGGAGUCCCUUUCAGCUUUCCUUUUUUGUCAUUUUGAUGUGGCCCAUUCUUCUUUGAAUACUUCCUGGGUUUCUACCACAAUAAGAUAUUUUCUUAUCAUUUUGUAUUUUUCUCUUCCCCAGUCUGAAAUCAGGCAUUAUCCUCAGAUACCUUGUAGUAGGGAAUUAUAUUUAAACACCAUGAUCUGAGGAGUAAGUGUGCUCAUUGAUUUGGGGUGUUGCUUCUCAUAGUUCCUUUGAGUGGUCACCUGUAAAUAUAGAUGCCUUUGCAUUUACGUCUCUAUGUUUUAUUUUGUUUUAUAUUUUAAAGAUUUUAUUUAUUCAUGAGACACACACACACAGAGGCAGAAACAUAGGCAGAGGGAGAAGCAGGCUCCAUGCAAGGGAGCCCGAUGCAGAACUCGAUCCCAGGACCCCAGGAUCACGGCCUGAGCCAAAGGCAGACACUCAAUCACUGAGCCACCCAGGCAUCCCUAUGUCUCUAUAUUUAAAAAGCCAAUUUUAUUGAAGUUUAUUUACAUACAAUAAAAUAUAGCUAUUUUAAGUAUAUAGUUAAAGGAGUUUUGGCAAAUGUACACAACCUUGUAACCAUCCCCCCUCCCCUGACCAAGAUAUGGUACAUUUCUAUCACCCAGAAAGCCUCCCUGUGCUCCUUUGCCAUCACUCCUAAACCUACCACAGGGAGACACUAAUUUGAUUUCUACCACACUAAAUUUUAUCUGUUCAUAUGAUAUUUAUGAGACCGUAUAUACUUGUCUUGUGUUUGACUUUACUCAUUCAGCACGAUGUCAAUGAGUUUCAUUCACGUUAUCACAUGUGCCAGUAAUCAGUGCCUUCUCAUUGUUGAGUAGUAUUUCUCUGUAAGAAUGAACGUGGUAGGUUUAUGUCAUCAUCUGUUCAUGACCAUUUGGACAUAGGUUUUCAUUCCUGUUGGGUAAAUACCUAAAAGAAGAAGUGCUGGUCAUAUGGAAAGUGUAUGGUUAACUUUAUGAAGAAGUGCCCACAUUUUCCAAAUGGCUAUAUCCUUACCAGCAAUGAGUUUCAGUGUCUCUAUACUCUCUGACACUUGAUAAUGUUGUUUUUAAAAUUUUAGCUAUUCUUAGUAUGUAGUGGUCUCUCACUAGUUUGAAUUUUCAUUUUGUUAAUGGAUAAUGCUACUGAGAUUUUAAAAAUGUAUUUAUUGGUCAUUAAUGUAUCUUCUUUUUUCAUCUUCAAAUAUUCUGGAGUUUUUUUUUGGGGGGGGUUGUUUACUUUUUCUUACUGAGUUGUAAGGGUUCUUUUAAAUUCCAGAUGCAGGGACAUCUGAGUGGCUCCGUGGUUGAGCAUUUGCCUUUGGUUUAGGUCAUAAUCCCGGGGUCCUGGGUCCUGCAUAGGGGUCCCCGCAGGGAGCCUGCUUCUUCCUCUGCCUAUGUCUCUGUCUCACUCUCUGUGUUUCUCAUAAAUGAAUGAAUAUAAUCUUAAUUGAAUAAAUUCCAGAUGCAAAUUUUUUGUCAGACAUAUUAAAAAUAUUUUCUUCCAAUCUCAAGUGCCUCAUCUUUCAGCUUUCUUAAUAGAGCCUUUUAAAGAGCAAAACCUUAAAUUUUUUCUGUCGUUUAAGUAACCUUUUUCUUUUCUCUUAUAUGGUUGGCGAUUUGUGUGUCCUGAAUGUAAUAUUCUCCUAACUGAAGGUUACAAAAAUUUUUCUACGUAUUGAGUUUAUUUUUGCGCCUACAAAGAGGACUGUUAAAUUGCAUCACAUAUUUGAACUUUCAUGAAAGCCCUAAUAAGUAUACUGGAUCAAGGAAGUUGUCUUCUUCUAUUGUAAACCAUGGGAAAGGAACUUUGGGAUUAAGCCAUGGUUGGGCUUCCUCACUGUUCUGGGUGAAAAUGUUUUGAGCAAAUACAUGUGUAGAAAUCAAAUUCUCAAGUGCUCCAAAUUUUAUUACAAAAAAAACAUAGAAAU